rnacentral:rRNA from 1 species
CCUACGGGUGGCAGCAGUGAGGAAUAUUGGUCAAUGGGCGCGAGCCUGAACCAGCCAAGUAGCGUGAAGGAUGACUGCCCUACGGGUUGUAAACUUCUUUUAUAAAGGAAUAAAGUGAGGCACGUGUGCCUUUUUGUAUGUACUUUAUGAAUAAGGAUCGGCUAACUCCGUGCCAGCAGCCGCGGUAAUACGGAGGAUCCGAGCGUUAUCCGGAUUUAUUGGGUUUAAAGGGAGCGUAGAUGGGUUGUUAAGUCAGUUGGGAAAGUUUGCGGCUCAACCGUAAAAUUGCAGUUGAUACUGGCAGCCUUGAGUACAGUUGAGGUAGGCGGAAUUCGUGGUGUAGCGGUGAAAUGCUUAGAUAUCAGGAGGAACACCAGUUGUGAAGGCAGCCUACUGGACUGAGACUGACGUUGAUGCUCGAAAGUGUGGGGAGCAAACAGGAUUAGAUACCCUGGUAGUC